ACAGAUGGUUUAUCAUACCACCAUCUGCCAGAGAAUUACAAGUGAAAAACUUAAAACUCUAAGGACUUGACGGUGCCCCACACCAGCCUAGAGGAGCCUGUCCUAUAAUCGAUACCCCACGCUCCACCUCACCCCCCCUUGCCAAACCCCCGCCUAUAUACCGCCGUCGUCAGCCCACCUACUGAUAGCAACAAAAGUCAGCAUAAUAGCACCCCGCUAGCACGUCAGGUCAAGGUGUAGCUAAUGGGGGGGACUAAGAUGGGCUACAUUUGCUAACCUAUAGCAAACCCACUGAAAGCCCCAUGAAACAAAGGGCCAGAAGGCGGAUUUAGCAGUAAACACCGGCAAGACAUGCCCACUUGAACACCGCUCUGGGGCGCGUACACACCG
rnacentral:rRNA from 1 species